UUUUUUUUUUUGUUUUUUUUUUUUAAAGCUUUUGCUGAUUUUUUUUUUUUUUUUUUCUCUUUUAGGGCCGCACCUGUAGCAUAUGGAAGUUUCCAGGCUAGGGGUCAAAUCAGAGAGGCAGCUGCCAGCCUACACCACAGCCACAGCAAUACUGGAUCCGAGCCACAUCUGUGACCCACGCCACAGCUUGCAGUUUCUUAACACCGGUUUCUUAACACACUGAGUGAGGCCAGGAAUCGAACCCUCAUCCUCACAGAGACAACGUCGGGUCUUUAACCUGCUGAUCCCCAACGGGAACUCCCUUGCCUACAAUUCUAAGAGUUUUUCUUAAGAUGUGUUUACAGAGUAGAAGGCACAUCCUAGCUGCACGCUCUUUGAAUAUUUAUGUUCAUACACACCCAAGUGCCCAUUGCAGAGACGAGGAUUGAAAACGUGUCCCUCGGGUCCCCUCCCAGCCAUUACCUACCCCCAUCACUGUCCUGACCACCACCCCGUAGACCAGCUGGGGUGUUUGUGUACUGAGAGAAAUAAGAGUCAUACUGUGUGUGUUCCUAUGUCUGGCUUCUCUCACUCAACUUGUUUGUGUGUGCGGCCGAGGCUGGCUCACUUUCUCUAGCAUUUGGAUGCCCUGACUUUGGUGGCACACAUGUAGGUGUGUGCUGGGUGGCACUGCACGGGGCAUCUUUCAUAGACGCAGCCUUCCAGACAGCGCUUUCCCUUCCCACUAAGGAAGAAUGCAAGUUCCCAUCUCUGCCCUCUAGAAUUUCCUCCUUGUGGAAUGUCUCUAUGGAUCUUUUGCUCAUUUUUUUUUAACAUGUUGUUGUUUUGUUGCUGAACUGCAGGAGGCUCUAAAAAAAUAUACGUUAUGAAUGCAAGUUCUUUGUGAGAUUUAUGUAUGUGCUUUGUCUUUGUGCUCUGUUUAAUGGUGUAAUGGUGAGAGAAUUUCUUAAUUUAACGAUAGGUCGGUGUAUGUCUUUACCUAAUCUUGACAGGCCUUCUUUACCGGGGAUACAAAUGUGUCACCCACCUGUGUUUGGCAUGUUUUGAGGUGUGUGCCAGGCUCUGUGCUCUCAUGGCAGGUCUGUGAUAGAGACGUAUACCCUGCUCUCAAGACCCCCGCAGAGGACCGGGAGGCAACAGAUGCAUCCUUCACCAGUGACAGCCCUGAGGGGCAAGGGGGGUGAUGGGCAGAACCCUUAGGACAGUAGGUGGGUGGAGGAGGAUCCUCUGACUCAAUUUGGGGGGAGCAUGGAUGGCUUCUUGGAGGAGGUGACCUCUCAGCUGAGCCCUGAAGGAUGGAAGGAUAGGCAGGCAAAGAGGAGGGCGCAAGGGCAGGAAGGAUUCCUCAUGUGGAGGGUGGAAAGGUCUGGAGUGCCCUCCUCUGUCUCCCUGGCUAUUCCAGCCCUUUGCUGGCAGCCGUGGAAUGAUGAGGGGUUGCUGUGUGGGGAAAGAGUGACCUGGGACUUUGGCUCCCAAGCUUGCAUGUCCCCACAGGGGCUGCACACUGUCCCCGAGCUCUGUGCCUCCUGCAGCCUUUCUGGUUUGGAAGUGGGUGGGACCCCCAGGUACACAGCCCUUACUCUGUGCCCAGGAGCGAAUAGCAGACCCCUGAGAGUGCAGAGAAGCCACACCUGCCCCGUCAGAGCUGCCUGGGCACAUGUGAGAUGAAACGAGCUAUGCAGACGCAUUGGAUGAUAACAUAAAGCGAGGAAGAUGGGAAGGGGGAAAGGCAGAGGGGAGCAAGGAACAGACAGGUAACCCCACAGAGUCUCAGCUGAGCCCUGAAGGAUGAGGACACUGCUCUUCUGAGGAAAUGUAGGCUGAAGUCUUUAGGGAUGAUGUAGCAUGAUCCUGUACCUUAUAUUUUUUUUUAGCAAAAUGAAAAACAAAAACCAAAAUAUGUGGGCAUUUGCUGAUGGCUCAGUAGAUUAAGGAUCUGGCAUUGUUGCUGCUGUGGCGCAGAUUUGAUCCCUGGCCCAGGAACUUCCUCAUGCUGUGGU
rnacentral:lncRNA from 1 species